AGCGCACUCUCCGCUGACCGCUCCCCUCUUCAUCAGCAACACCAAUAUAGCAAUGUAUAUAUAGGUAAUAUUAUACCGCAUGGCGAGAUCGAGAGAUGAAAAUAUUAUAAUUCAUUAUAAAAAAAAUAAGUAGUGUAUACACAUCAUUAUAUGAUCGCAAUAGUUACUAUGGAACCGUUACGUAAUCGAUAAUGUUUUGUGGGGUAUAGAUUAUCGACUAUCAUUAUUAUGCACGAGAUUCAACAACUAAAAAAUAACCACCAGGUUUGCUUUAAUAAAAUCGAUUUUUUUAUUAUGUUUAGAGUACAGUAAUUUUGAUAAUUUUUUUAUCAAUAUUGACGAUUCUUUAUUUUAUGUAUAUAUGUAUAAUAUGUAUAUUUUUUCAACUCAUCUUUGAUACAAAAAAUUUUUCAUUUCGAGUUAUACUUAAAUGAAGCAUUACAUUUUUAAUUUAAAUAUUCUUUGUAUAAAUCACAUUUUCUAUUUACAUUGUUAGCUUAAAUUGUAUUCCGAGUUACUUGCAGUGUUAUUUUUACAUUCUCCUAUACAAUCAAUCGAAAACUCGUGUUUCUGCACAUUGUUUAUCAUUAAUUUCUGUAUACCUGAUAGCUUUUCACAUGUUAAUAUGAUAAUAAUUGAUUAAUUUCUAAAACAAAUUUAAUGUUAACUGCAAAUCAACUAUAUAUAAAACUAAAUUAUUUUAUAAUCUAACAAUCAACAAAUCUUACUAUGUAUAAUUAUGUAUAUAAGAAUUUUUUCUUUAUGAAAAUUCUGUAGAUAAAAGUGCUUUAGUAGGCUUUAAUUCUAUAUAGAAAUGGAUGGAUUUAAUAUAAAAUAAAAAUUUCAAAAAUGUAGUUUUUAUUGCCAAUGAAUUACUGGUGUCAGCUCUCCAACAAUAGAUGUACAACACUGUUUUGAUACUUUGACUAGAUGUACUGCUUGAUUUUUUUAUUGUAGUUUGUUAUUCGAUAAUAAUAAAAACAAUUUUUACUGACAAUAUUACAACAUGCUAAAAAUGCGUCAAAAACGCAACUCUUUAGGGUUUUCUUUUAAAGAUAGAUUUAUAAAAUAUCAUCUACAGUUUUUCAAUUUGAACAAGAAUUCGAUGCCAACUACACACCUAAAGCUUUUUUUUUCUUAGUCUUUCAGUCGAGAUAUUAUUGUGACAUUUCUGAAUCAAAUAUUUUAACCAUUCUAUGAUAACGGUUUACGCAACAACGAUUGUAUCAACGAUACAGAUUAACAACUAUAAUUGCCUCAAUCUUUAGCUAAAAACUCUAAAACUUUUAAGACAAAUACAACUAACGUUUGUUUUCUUAGUUGGUCAUUUUUCGUUUUCUUUUGUCUAGACACUAGUUAUGUAGUUGUAUGUACAAAGUCUUUGAUUAUCGAAAGAAAUAUUACAAAUCUGACAGAUUAAGAUUACUUUCAUUUUGCAGAACCAUAAAGAUAUUCAUCGCAAUGCAUAAUUUUUAAUUCAACAAUUCCAUGCUGUUGCGUAAAAAAUUGAGCAUGUCAAAAAUAGGUGCGCAUAUUUAUAAAGGGGGAAUGUUCCUAGGCACAGAUUCUCUAAAUUAAACGCUUUAUCCAUAAAGUGAAUUGUGCAGUUUUAAAUGAAUAUUGGCAAUCUGCAAUUUACAAGGAAUUAAGCUCUUUAGAGGCACGGCACAUUGUUUCUUUUAUAUUUCCUGCAGUCUCUAUGGCUAUUUUAUUCCACUGUUUUAAUCAGGUACAAAUAAUAAAAACCAUUAAUAUGCUUUUUUUCUUUUAAUUAUUGUACGAUACGUGGCAUUGCGAAAUUGAAGCGAUAUAUUUUUAUGGCUAAGUGGCUUUAAAGUUUAAAGAGGAACAUUAAAAUUUACUUAAUUUGGCUUUGGAAUACUGACAUGUGUAAUAUCCAUCGCCACAAGAAUCCCAACUAAUCCCUUAGCGGUAAGAUUUUUUUACUUUCAAAAUUAGUCAUAAUCCAUAUGCAAAUUAUUAAAAUUCUCUGACUCGAUAAUUGUCUGCAAUUUUCUUUCACAACAAUCAUCAUAAGAUAUGCUUUCUUUGAGAACGCCAGCAUCCUCUAAUUUUUCCUACGAAAUUCUAGUUUCAUCAAACACAUACAU
rnacentral:lncRNA from 1 species